GACUUAUCCAGAGUGGCAGAGGGACUGGCCCUAUGAAGCCACAGCAACCGGUACCACCCUAUACGGGGGUAUGGCAGGUGCUAAAUCCAGCAAGGCCCGCAAGGCCUUGGAAGAUAAGAA
rnacentral:ncRNA from 2 species